GAUGAACGCUGACAGAAUGCUUAACACAUCAGCAAUUGAUUGGUGGCGGACGGGUGAGUAACGCGUAAAGAACUUACCUCACAGUUAGGGACAACAUUUGGAAACGAAUGCUAAUAACUCAUACUGUGAGAGAGCUUUGCGUCCCAUUAGCUAGUUGGAGAGGUAACGGCUCACCAAGGCGAGGAUGGGUAGCCGGCCUGAGAGGGUGAUCGGCCACAAGUGGACUGGGACACGGCCCUUACGCCGACGGGAGGCAGCAGUGGGGAAUAUUGGACAAUGGACCAAAGUCUGAUCCAGCAAUUCGGUGUGAACGAUGAAGUUUUCGGAAUGUAAAGUGCUUUCAGUUGGGAAGCGGUACCAACAGAAGAAGGGACGGCUAAAUCCGUGCCAGCAGCCGCGGUAAUAC
rnacentral:rRNA from 1 species